rnacentral:rRNA from 1 species
UACGUAGGGUGCGAGCGUUAAUCGGAAUUACUGGGCGUAAAGCGUGCGCAGGCGGCGCGUUAAGACAGGUGUGAAAGCCCCGGGCUUAACCUGGGAACUGCAUUGGUGACUGGCAGGCUUUGAGUGUGGCAGAGGGAGGUAGAAUUCCACGUGUAGCAGUGAAAUGCGUAGAGAUGUGGAGGAAUACCGAUGGCGAAGGCAGCCUCCUGGGCCAACACUGACGCUCAUGCACGAAAGCGUGGGGAGCAAACAGG